GGGUGGGAAAGGGACGACCAACCGCCACAGCCCGUGGCGGGAGAGGGGGUUGGGAAGAAGAGGGAGGGCUGAAGAGAGGAGAACGCGCGCGAGCGGCGCCGGCGGCAGAGAGGCCUAGUCUGUAAGGCGGUCUCUGGCCCGGGUGGGGCUGGGACCGGCGGGCUCCCAGGAAAACUUUGUACAAUUGGAAGUCAGGGCUCCUCCCAUUCUGGAAGCCCUGUCCAAACCCGCGCCUGGGGGUUGCCGCGUGAGUGUACGGGGGAAGGCCGGGCCUGGCGGGAGAAACCAGGACAGGCGCCUUGAGUCGGCAAACGGCUCCCAGGACUGUGCUGAGCACCGCGAGGGGACCUGAGGCAGGCCCCGGAGAAGCCCUCGUGCCAUUAAUUGAUUCUUUGGAAACAUUCCCUGGGGUUGCUGAGGUCCUGGCAGCCGGUGAAAAAUCAAAGGCCUCUGCCCUGAUGGAAUUCCCAGUCAAGAAAUAAUGGAAUGACGUUAUUGUAUGUUGAAGGUUUUCAUAAUAAACAGUUUAAUAAACGAGAAAAUUAAUUCUGCAGGAAGCAAAAGUUGAGCCUUAAAAAAAAUUUUAGUCCGGGAGCGGUGGCUCACGCCUGUAAUUCCAGCACUUUGGGAGACCAAGGCAAGCAGAUCACCGGAGGUCAGGAGUUCAGGACCAGCCUGGCCAAAAUGGUGAAACCCCGUCUCUACUAAAAAUACAAAAUUAGCCGGGUGUGGUGGUGCGCGCCUGUAAUCCCAGCUACUUGGGAGGCUGAGGCAGGAGAAUCACUUGAACCCGGAAGGCGGAGGUUGCAGUGAGCCAAGAUCACGCCACUGCACUCCAGCAUGGGCGACAGUGAGAUUCCGUCUCAAAAAUUUUUUUAAACAGAUUUGAGUAUGUAAAUAAGAUUGUUGCAUGGCAGACAACAUCAAAAACAUAGACAUGUGACAAACUCAGGGAAAUAUUUGCCUACGUGUUCAGUCAACAAAUAGCACCUACCAUGUGGACACCACCAAGAAUAUAGCAGUGAACAAAAAAAAAUGACAGAAAUCCCAACCUUCUUGGAUCUUAUGGUGGGGAGAAACAGGCAAGAAAUAAGUAAAACAUAAGCGUGUUAGAUGGUGAUGAGGACUUGGAGUAAUCAAGGGAACUAAGCCAUCCUCUGAGGGAAGAUCAUGCCGGCCAGAAAGUACAAGUCAAAGAGUGCUGGGGCAGAAGCAAAUCUGGUUCAAGGAAGAGUCAAGAGCCAGUAUGGGCCAGGCCCGGUGGCUCACGCCUGUAAUCCCAGCACUUUGGGAGGCUGAGGCGGGCGGAUCACCUGAGGUCAAGAGUUCGAGACCAGUCUGACCAACAUGGUAAAACCCUGUCUCUACUAAAACUACAAAACAUUAGCUUUGCGCAGUGGCAGUAUCAUAGCCAAUGAGGUUUAUCCGAGGCGCAAUUAUUGCUAAUUGAAAACAAAACAUUAGCCAUGCAUGAUGACUGGCACCUGUAAUCCCAGCUACUCAGGAGGCUGAGGCAUUAAAAUCACUUGAACCCAGGAGGUGGAGGUUGCAGUGGGCUGAGAUCACGCCACCACACUCCAUCCUGGCCAACAGAGCAGGACUCUGUCUCCAAAAAAAAAAAAAAAAAAGAGCCCAAUAUGGCCAGAACCUGGAACAGAGAGCAGAAUAGGAGGGUGGGAGUUGUGUAGCACAAGGCCAUUGAAAUGGCAUGUGCUUGGGCCAGGCGAGGUGGCUCACGCCUGUAAUCCCAGCACUUUGGGAGGCUGAGGCGGGCGGAUCAUGAGGUCAGGAGAUGGAGACCAUCCUGGCUAACACGGUGAAACCC
rnacentral:lncRNA from 10 species